rnacentral:tRNA from 1 species
GACUUCUAUAUGUCAAGACGGGCAAGAAUGAAAUUUUUAGUAAGAGGAAAAUCCGUCGACUUUAAAAAUCGUGAGG